AGAACGAACGCUGGCGGCAUGCCUAAUACAUGCAAGUCGAACGAACUCUUCGGAGUUAGUGGCGCACGGGUGCGUAACGCGUGGGAAUCUGCCCCUUGGUUCGGAAUAACAGUUGGAAACGACUGCUAAUACCGGAUGAUGACGAAAGUCCAAAGAUUUAUCGCCAAGGGAUGAGCCCGCGUAGGAUUAGCUAGUUGGUGAGGUAAAGGCUCACCAAGGCAACGAUCCUUAGCUGGUCUGAGAGGAUGAUCAGCCACACUGGGACUGAGACACGGCCCAGACUCCUACGGGAGGCAGCAGUAGGGAAUAUUGGACAAUGGGCGAAAGCCUGAUCCAGCAAUGCCGCGUGAGUGAUGAAGCCUUAGGGUUGUAAAGCUCUUUUACCCGAGAUGAAUAAUAGACAGUAUCGGAAGAAAGUAACGCCCCGGACUAACCUCCGUGCCAGCAGCCGAC
rnacentral:rRNA from 1 species